rnacentral:rRNA from 1 species
CCUACGGGUGGCAGCAGUGGGGAAUAUUGCGCAAUGGGCGAAAGCCUGACGCAGCGACGCCGCGUGAGGGAUGAAGGUCUUCGGAUCGUUAACCUCUGUCAGCAGGGAAGAACGGUCACUGUGCUAAUCAGCAGUGAAUUGACGGUACCUGCACAGGAAGCACCGGCUAACUCCGUGCCAGCAGCCGCGGUAAUACGGAGGGUGCGAGCGUUAAUCGGAAUUACUGGGCGUAAAGCGCUCGUAGGCGGUAUGUCAAGUCAAGGGUGAAAUCCCCGCGCUCAACGUGGGAACUGCCUUUGAAACUGGCAAACAGGAGUGGAUGAGAGGAAAGUGGAAUUCCAGGUGUAGGAGUGAAAUCCGUAGAUAUCUGGAGGAACAUCAGUGGCGAAGGCGACUAUCUGGCACAUAACUGACGCUGAGGAGCGAAAGCGUGGGUAGCAAACAGGAUUAGAUACCCCAGUAGUC